AAGCAUUUAGGAAGUGCUUAGCUGGUUAAGCUCAGUCAAUCUGAAUUUAACUUUAUCGUCAUGAGAGUUUGCUAGUAGGGAUGCGAGCA
rnacentral:sRNA from 1 species